GUCGAGCGAGAAGUGGAGCAUCCAUGAGUACGGCGGCGUACGGGUGAGUAACACGUGGGUGAUCUACCUCUUAGUGGGGAAUAACCCUGGGAAACCGGGGCUAAUACCGCAUAAGCCUGAGAAGGGAAAGUCGAAAGACGCUGAGAGAGGAGCCCGCGGCUGAUUAGCUAGUUGGUGAGGUAAAGGCCCACCAAGGCAUAGAUCGGUAGCCGGCCUGAGAGGGCACACGGCCACACUGGCACUGAAACACGGGCCAGACUCCUACGGGAGGCAGCAGUGGGGAAUCUUGCACAAUGGGGGAAACCCUGAUGCAGCGACGCCGCGUGAGCGAUGAAGCCCUUCGGGGUGUAAAGCUCUUUCGGCAGGGAAGAUUAUGACGGUACCUGCAGAAGCAGCUGCGGCUAACUACGUGCCAGCAGCCGCGGUAAUACGUAGGCAGCGAGCGUUGUUCGGAGUUACUGGGCGUAAAGGGUGUGUAGGCGGUUCUUUAAGUUUGGUGUGAAAUCCCCCGGCUCAACUGGGAGGGUGCGCCGAAUACUGAGGGACUAGAGUACGGGAGAGGAAAGUGGAAUUCCUGGUGUAGCGGUGAAAUGCGUAGAUAUCAGGAGGAACACCGGUGGUGUAGACGGCUUUCUGGACCGUAACUGACGCUGAGACACGAAAGCGUGGGUAGCAAACAGGAUUAGAUACCCUGGUAGUCCACGCCCUAAACGAUGCAUAUUUUGGUGUGGGCAGUUCAUUCUGUCCGUGCCGGAGCUAACGCGUUAAUAUGCCGCCCUGGGGAGUACAGUCGCAAGGCU
rnacentral:rRNA from 1 species